GACGAACCGUGCGAACGUUAUUCGGAAUCACUGGGCUUAAAGCGCGUGUAGGCGGGACGGCACGUCGGUCGCUGAAAUCCCCCGGCUUAACCGGGGAACGGGCGCCGAUACGACCGCCCUCGAGGAGCGUAGGGGGAGCUGGAACUUCCGGUGGAGCGGUGAAAUGCGUUGAGAUCGGAAGGAACGCCCGUGGCGAAAGCGAGCUCCUGGACGUUAUCUGACGCUGAGACGCGAAAGCCAGGGGAGCGAACGGG
rnacentral:rRNA from 1 species